rnacentral:rRNA from 1 species
UAACUGUGCAAAGGUAGCAUAAUCAUUAGUCUUUUAAUUGAAGGCUGGUAUGAACGGUUGGACGAGGUAUAARCUGUUUCAUAUAAAUUUAUAAUAGAAUUUUAUAUUUUAGUCAAAAAGCUAAAAUUUAAUUAAAAGACGAGAAGACCCUAUAAAUCUUUAUAUUUUAUAUUGUUUAAGUUUUUUAGAUUAAUUUUAUUUUUAUAGUUUGAAGUAUUUUGUUGGGGUGAUAUUAAAAUUUAAUGAACUUUUAAUUAUUUAAAAUCAUUAAUUUAUGAAUUAUUGAUCCAUUAAUAGUGAUUAUAAGAUUAAGUUACUUUAGGGAUAACAGCGUAAUUUUUUUGGAGAGUUCAUAUCGAUAAAAAAGUUUGCGACCUCGAUGUUGGAUUAAGAUAUAUUUUUAGGUGUAGCCGCGUAAAU